UUUGUACUCCCUCCGUCCCAAAAUUCUUGUCUUAAAUUUGUCUAAAUACGAAUGUAUCUAGUUACAUUUUAGUGUUCGAUACAUCCGUAUCUAAACAAAUGUAAGACAAGAAUUUUGGGACGGAGGGAAUACUAC
rfam:Triticum aestivum genome assembly, contig: Triticum_aestivum_CS42_TGACv1_scaffold_113618_2AS